rnacentral:sRNA from 1 species
GUGGGGCUUUGCCAGCAGGCAGUGGAGGUGGCAUGCCCCCCGAGGAGGGUGGGUUUGGGGCUGAUGGAGGAAAAAGCGCGUGUCCUGAGUAGUUGCUCCCAGCUGGGAAAGGGGUAACUGAAGCCCCAGGAAAUACACGGAAUCCUGGGGGCAUGUGGGCGCCUCAGACCUGAGCCAGCAACACCCUUGACACCCCUUCUCUGUGCAGAGAGGGAUGAGUGCCGAGCUCACCCCUGCAGAAAUGGAGGGUCCUGCAGGAACCUCCCAGGGGCCUAUGUCUGCCGGUGCCCUGCAGGCUUCGUUGGAGUCCACUGUGAGACAGAGGUGGACGCCUGCAACUCCAGCCCCUGCCAGCACGGAGGCCGGUGUGAGAGCGGCGGCGGAGCCUACCUGUGCGUCUGCCCAGAGAGCUUCUUCGGCUACCACUGCGAGACAGUGAGUGACCCCUGCUUCUCCAGCCCCUGUGGGGGCCGUGGCUAUUGCCUGGCCAGCAACGGCUCCCACAGCUGCACCUGCAAAGUGGGCUACACGGGCAAGGACUGCACCAAAGAGCUCUUCCCACCAACGGCCCUCAAGAUGGAGAGAGUGGAGGAGAGUGGGGUCUCUAUCUCCUGGAACCCGCCCGAUGGUCCAGCCGCCAGGCAGAUGCUUGAUGGCUACGCGGUCACCUAUGUCUCCUCCGACGGCUCCUACCGCCGCACGGACUUUGUGGACAGGACCCGCUCCUCGCACCAGCUCCAGGCCCUGGCGGCCGGCAGGGCCUACAACAUCUCCGUCUUCUCAGUGAAGCGAAACAGUAACAACAAGAAUGACAUCAGCAGGCCUGCCGUGCUGCUGGCCCGCACGCGACCCCGCCCUGUGGAAGGCUUCGAGGUCACCAAUGUGACGGCUAGCACCAUCUCAGUGCAGUGGGCCCUGCACAGGAUCCGCCAUGCCACCGUCAGUGGGGUCCGUGUGUCCAUCCGCCACCCUGAGGCCCUCAGGGACCAGGCCACCGAUGUGGACAGGAGUGUGGACAGGUUCACCUUUAGGGCCCUGCUGCCUGGGAAGAGGUACACCAUCCAGCUGACCACCCUCAGUGGGCUCAGGGGAGAGGAGCACCCCACAGAGAGCCUGGCCACCGCGCCGACACACGUGUGGACCCGGCCCCUGCCUCCAGCAAACCUGACCGCCGCCCGAGUCACUGCCACCUCUGCCCACGUGGUCUGGGAUGCCCCGACUCCAGGCAGCUUGCUGGAGGCUUAUGUCAUCAAUGUGACCACCAGCCAGAGCACCAAGAGCCGCUAUGUCCCCAACGGGAAGCUGGCUUCCUACACGGUGCGCGACCUGCUGCCGGGACGGCGGUACCAGCUCUCUGUGAUAGCAGUGCAGAGCACGGAGCUCGGGCCGCAGCACAGCGAGCCCGCCCACCUCUACAUCAUCACCUCCCCCAGGGAUGGCACCGACAGACGCUGGCACCAGGGAGGACACCACCCUCGGGUGCUCAGGAACAGACCACCCCCCGCGCGCCUGCCGGAGCUGCGCCUGCUCAAUGACCACAGCGCCCCCGAGACCGCCACCCAGCCCCCCAGGUACAUGCCCCACCCGUCGGCCCCAUCGCCCGAGGUGGCGCUCGGACUGUGGUGACCUUCCACCCUCUCUGCAGGUUCUCGGAGCUUGUGGACGGCAGAGGAAGAGUGAGCGCCAGGUUCGAUGGCUCACCCAGCAAAGCAGCCACCGUGAGAUCACACGUCCCUGGCAACUGUUCAGAAAACCCCUGUCAGAACGGAGGCACUUGUGUGCCGGGCACAGACGCCCACAGCUGUGACUGCGGGCCAGGGUUCAAAGGCAGACGCUGCGAGCUCGCCUGUAUAAAGGUGUCCCGCCCCUGCACAAGGCUGUUCUCCGAGACAAAGUCCUUUCCAGUCUGGGAGGGAGGCGUCUGUCACCACGUGUAUAAAAGAGUCUACAGAGUUCACCAAGACAUCUGCUUCAAAGAGAGCUGUGAAAGCACAAGCCUCAAGAAGACCCCAAACAGGAAACAAAGUAAGAGUCAGACACUGGAGAAAUCUUAAGGAUUUAAGACGUUCUUGUUACACUCCACCAACCUCACGAGUUUCUAACACCCAGGAAGAUGAGGUCUAAAAACUGGAUGAAAAAGGACACCCUGAGAGAAAAGGUCCUAGCUGGAGUCAGUCCCCUCUGUGACCUCUCUCCUCAGGCCUCUAGAGGACAGAUGGCCAGGCCUGUGCACACACCAGCCCGCCCUGAGAGACCCCUCUGGGACCAACCAC